AGUCAAUAGAUACCCAGGUAGUCCAUGCCGUAAACGAUGAUUGCUAGGUGUGGGGGGUCUGACCCCUUCCGUGCCGGAGUUAAACACAAUAAGCAAUCCACCUGGGGAGUACGGCCGCAAGGUUGAAACUCAAAGGAAUUGACGGGGGCCCGCACAAGCAGUGGAGUAUGUGGUUUAAAUUCGAAGCAACGCGAAGAACCUUACCAGGUCUUGACAUCCACCGAAUCCUGUAGAGAUACGGGAGUGCCCUUCGGGGAACGGUGAGACAGGUGGUGCAUGGUUGUCGUCAGCUCGCGUCGUGAGAUGUUGGGUUAAGUCCCGCAACGAGCGCAACCCUUGUGAAUAGUUGCUACGAAAGAGCACUCUAUUCAGACCGCCGUUGACAAAACGGAGGAAGGUGGGGAUGACGUCAAAUCAUCAUGCCCCUUAUGACCUGGGCUACACACGUACUACAAUGGCCGUUAUCAGAGGGAUGCAAUGCCGCGAGGUGAGCGAACCCCUAAAAACGGUCUCAGUUCAGAUUGCAGGCUGAAACUCGCCU
rnacentral:rRNA from 1 species